UACGUAGGGUGCGAGCGUUGUCCGGAAUUAUUGGGCGUAAAGAGCUUGUAGGCGGUUUGUCGCGUCUGCUGUGAAAAUCCGGGGCUCAACCCCGGACUUGCAGUGGGUACGGGCAGACUAGAGUGUGGUAGGGGAGAAUGGAAUUCCCGGUGUAGCGGUGAAAUGCGUUGAUAUCGAUAGGAACUCCGGUGGCGAAGGCGGCAUACUGGACCAACACUGACGCUGAUGCGCGAAAGCCAGGGGAGCAAACGGG
rnacentral:rRNA from 1 species